AUUAGUGUUCUUAGGAUCAUUCGGCUCACGAGUCGAUGAAGAACGCAGCCAGCUGUGAGACGUUGUGUGAAUUGCAGGACACGUUGAGUACUGAUUUUUCGAACGCGCAUUGCGGUCUCGGGUGAUACUCGGGACCUCACUUGUCUGAGGGUCG
rnacentral:rRNA from 1 species